GGAUUUCUUUUUUUAGUUUUUUAGUUUCAAUAGCUAAGUAGAGGAACCCCAUUUGGUUGAAAUUCAAGAAUCUGCUGUUGAAAGGUUUGUAGUUUUGAAGAUUCUUACCUUUUUUUGGCUCUGUGGUCAUGUACACUACUACAUGAUGGGAACUGAAGAUAAGACACUGUUUUGUUUCUGUCAUUGGGGUGGGAAGAAUAAGGUGCUUCCAGAUGGAUCCACUUCGUAUGUAGGAGGAAUUACGGAUCAGAUUAUUGUGAAGACAGGCAUAAAGUACAAUGAUUUUGUGAAUGCAGUCUUUGACCGAUUAGGCAUUGAUCCUUCAGAUAAGGUCCUGCAGUUUACAGUAAAGUUUGAUAGGGCCCAAUUGAUACGGCUGAGAGACCAAGAAGGUGUCAAUACUCUGUUACAAUUUAAU
rnacentral:misc_RNA from 1 species